rnacentral:rRNA from 1 species
AUGGGGUUCGUGUCGCUGCUGGCGGUGGCGUCGACGCCGGUGGUGGAGGUGCUCCUCCUCGCGCUCCUCGGCGCCUACCUCGCCUCCCCGCGCUGCGGCCUCCUGGCCCCCUCCGCCCGCGCCGACAUCAACCGCGUCGUCUACGCCGUCUUCACCCCGGCGCUGCUGCUCGCCAGCCUCGCCUCCACCGUCACCCUCCAGGACGCCCUCUCCUGGUGGUUCAUGCCUGUCAACAUCGGCAUCGUCUUCUUCGCCGGCGGGGUCCUCGGGUGGCUGGCGGUGCUCAUCCUCAGGCCGCCGCCGCACCUCCGCGGGCUGGUUGUUGCGUCCUGCUCCGCCGCUAACUUCGGCAACCUGCUCCUCAUCGUCAUCCCCGCGGUCUGCCGCGAGGACGGCAACCCCUUCGGCGGCGACUGCACCGGCCGCGGCCUCUCCUACGCCUCCUUCUCCAUGGCGCUCGGCGGGCUCUACAUCUGGACGCACACCAACAGCGUCAUGAAGCGGUCCAGCGAGGUAUGCCGGAGGAUGGUCGCCGACCAGGAGGCUGAGGCGGCCGAAGCUCAUGACCAUAGCAAGGACUCUGUCAGUGUCACCGUCACUGUCAGUGUCAGGCCAGAGGAGAAGGGAAAACAAGAAGAAGACGAGCCGAGCUGCCUUUCCCCACUGCCGUCGUCUUCGUCGAACCAACACCACACAGCGGCACUGGCGCCGUUGCUGUCGAGUGGCAAGAUGACGAGCAGCGACAGCCUGUGGGCGAAGCUGAAGCAGGGCGCGCACCAGAUCGCCAAGGAGCUCAUGGCGCCGCCGACCGUCGGGGCGGUUCUAGGCUUCACCGUCGGCACGGUGCCGUGGCUGAGAUCCGCCUUCAUCGGCGACAGCGCUCCGCUGCGAGUAGUCCAGGACUCCCUCAAGCUGCUCGGAGAUGGCACCAUCCCCUGUGUGAUUCUCAUCCUUGGAGGGAACCUCACCAAAGGCCUGCGCAAGACGACCAUGUCGCGGUGGGUGAUCGCGGCCAUCGUCUGCGUGCGCUACAUGAUCCUGCCGGUGGUCGGGAUCGUGGUGGUGAGGACGGCGAGGGAGCUCGGCUUCCUGCCGCCGGACCCGCUGUACCAGUAUGUGCUCAUGCUCCAGUUCGCGCUGCCGCCCGCGAUGAGCAUCAGCACCAUGGCGCAGCUCUACGACGUCGCCCAGGAGGAGUGCUCGGUCGUUUUCCUCUGGACCUACCUCGUCGCCGCCCUCGCCCUCACCGCCUGGUCCACCGUCUUCAUGUCCAUCCUUGCCCCCGCCUAG